rnacentral:misc_RNA from 1 species
GAUGAAGAACGCAGCGAAAUGCGAUAAGUAAUGCGAAUUGCAGAAUCCGUGAGUCAUCGAAUCUUUGAACGCACAUUGCGCCCUUUGGUAUUCCGAAGGGCAUGCCUGUUCGAGCGUCAUUAUCACCCCUCAAGCCCCGGCUUGGUGUUGGGCUCUCGGUGGUCGUCUCCGACCACCCGUCUCAAAGAUAGGGACGGCGUCCCAGAGGGAACCGGUACGAGGAGCUUUCACGAGCAUGUACGCGGGACGACUCUGCGGGCGACGGUCUUAUUUACUUUAUAUACAAGUGUUGACCUCGGAUCAGGUAGGAAUACCCGCUGAACUUAAGCAUAUCAAUAAGCGGAGGA